AAAUUGAAGAGUUUGAUCAUGGCUCAGAUUGAACGCUGGCGGCAGGCCUAACACAUGCAAGUCGAACGGUAACAGGAAACAGCUUGCUGUUUCGCUGACGAGUGGCGGACGGGUGAGUAAUGUCUGGGAAACUGCCUGAUGGAGGGGGAUAACUACUGGAAACGGUAGCUAAUACCGCAUAACGUCGCAAGACCAAAGAGGGGGACCUUAGGGCCUCUUGCCAUCGGAUGUGCCCAGAUGGGAUUAGCUAGUAGGUGGGGUAAAGGCUCACCUAGGCGACGAUCCCUAGCUGGUCUGAGAGGAUGACCAGCCACACUGGAACUGAGACACGGUCCAGACUCCUACGGGAGGCAGCAGUGGGGAAUAUUGCACAAUGGGCGCAAGCCUGAUGCAGCCAUGCCGCGUGUAUG
rnacentral:rRNA from 1 species